GCUCAGGACGAACGCUGGCGGCGUGCCUAACACAUGCAAGUCAAGGGUAGAAAUACACUGGCGCACGGGUGAGUAACGCGUAGGUCAUCUGCCCCUAUCUCUGGCAUAACAUCGAGAAAUCGGUGCUAAUAUCAGAUGAGGUGGUAACAUCAAAGGUUUCGGCUGGAUAGGGAUGAGCCUGCGUCUGAUUAGCUUGUUGGUGGUGUAACGGACCACCAAGGCGACGAUCAGUAGCUGGUCUGAGAGGACGAUCAGCCACACUGGAACUGAGACACGGUCCAGACUCCUACGGGAGGCAGCAGUGAGGAAUAUUGGUCAAUGGGGGAAACCCUGAACCAGCGACGCCGCGUGCGGGAUGAAGGGGCUUUGCCCUGUAAACCGCUGUCGGAGGGGGAAAAGCCGGGUCGCCCGGCUGGGACUGUACCCUUAGAGGAAGGUUUGGCUAACUACGUGCCAGCAGCCGCGGUAAUACGUAGGAACCAAGCGUUGUCCGGAAUUACUGGGUGUAAAGGGUGCGCAGGCGGGCUUGUGCGUCAGAGGUUAAAUGCCCCGGCUUAACCGGGGAAAUGCCUUUGAUACGGCAAGUCUUGAGUACGAGAGAGGAUGGUAGAAUUCCUGGUGUAGCGGUGAAAUGCGUAGAUAUCAGGAGGAAUACCAGUGGCGAAGGCGGCCAUCUGGCUCGUGACUGACGCUCAGGCACGAAAGCGUGGGGAGCAAACAGGAUUAGAUACCCUGGUAGUCCACGCCUUAAACGAUGUAUGCUUGGUGUUGGAAGACUUGUUCUUUCAGUGCCGGAGGAAACCCGUUAAGCAUACCACCUGGGGAGUACGAUCGCAAGGUUGAAACUCAAAG
rnacentral:rRNA from 1 species